GACGAACGCUGGCGGCGUGCUUAACACAUGCAAGUCGAACGGACGGAGAGGGUAGCUUGCUACCAUCGAAGUUAGUGGCGGACGGGUGAGUAACGCGUGGGUAACCUGCCCAUAAGAGGGGGAUAACACUUCGAAAGGAGUGCUAAUACCGCAUAACAUGCUGAAGCUGCAUGGCUUUAGUAUUAAAGGAGUAAUCCACUUAUGGAUGGACCCGCGUCUGAUUAGCUAGUUGGUGGGGUAACGGCCUACCAAGGCGACGAUCAGUAGCCGGCCUGGGAGGGUGAACGGCCACACUGGAACUGAGGCACGGUCCAGACUCCUACGGGAGGCAGCAGUGGGGAAUCUUCCGCAAUGGGCGAAAGCCUGACGGAGCAACGCCGCGUGAGUGAGGAAGGCCUUCGGGUUGUAAAACUCUGUCUUCAGGGAAGAAAACAAUGACGGUACCUGAGGAGGAAGCCACGGCUAACUACGUGCCAGCCGCCGCAGUAAAAC
rnacentral:rRNA from 1 species